rfam:Nicotiana attenuata strain TT chromosome 3, whole genome shotgun sequence.
CAAACGGUUCUUCUGAAAGGAGGGGACGUACCAACCAACAAUAGAACCACACAUCAAGUCAUAAACAAGCAAU